AAAAAACACAAUUUCCGGCCUUUAUAGACUGGGCUUGUGUGGAAAUCUCUUAAUUUAGCAAAAUUUUUACAAAGUGGUUUCUGAAUAGUGUCACAAGAACAGUACAACAGAGACUAAAAGAAACCUUCGAGACAGUUCUGGAACAUCAUGGCACUGACAUAC